CCAAGUCAUCAUAGUUUUCAGAAAUAAUUUCGGUUUGGAACUCAGCAUCCUUGAGCACUGUCCGUAACAGGAUCAAGCAUGCUCUGAUACCAACUUGUAAGACCCGAUCCUGGCCGACAAGGCCGCGGUCGAUGCCUCACGUCGCUCGGUCGAUACCCUGACCGAACCUCUCAAAAUUUUUGGCCUUUAUUUAAAACAUCGCCCAUAGGCGAGGGCUAAC
rnacentral:lncRNA from 1 species